AGUGCAGUUCUCUGGGCUCAUGUGGUUUCACCAUAUAUGUGUUCUCCUCUUGACAAGUUUUCUCCAUCCUAGAGGAAGGGCCCCAGCUGCCAAACAAAGGGGCUUGGAAGAAAGGGAAAGUGGUGGCAUCGCUCUUCUGCUCUAAGAGCCAAGAUAGAAAACUGGAUUGACCACUUUUUUCCUCUGUUUUUCCAGAAGGAAAUGGUUUCCAGGAAUACUGAUCCUGACUCACUUACCAAGGCAAUGGGCUUAUGGUAUUUGACCCUCAAUGUUCCUCCUGUGCUGCCUGCCAUUCUUCUUUGACUCCACGCCUUUCCGUGUAGAACUUGUGGCCUUUACUCUUUCAUACAUUAUUGUUUUGUUUGAAAAGCCCAGAGCAGCACAGUGCCAGGUUGCAAGGCUGAGAUGCAAUUCAAAAAAUAAUGUGUAAAUAAGAAAGCAGAGAACUUCAAAAAAACAGAAAGGUAGGUAGUGGAUGGAUAUUCACGCUGAGGACUCGCUUGGUGGCAUUGGCAGCCUGACAUUCUUCCGGAACGGGUUUUGAAGAAGAAGCAAGGAUUGCCAAGUAAUGUGAAGCAGGGCCCAGUUGUCAGUUGAACAGUGAGAAAUGGCUGCAGGUGUGACUUAUUGAAAGACUACCUUAGUUUCAAUGUUUAUCAACUGGCUGUCCUCCAGAACCUCAAUUUGGUGUCAUUUGGCAACAAGUCUGACCUAAAGCAAUACAGAUUUAUAAGUGACACCAACACUAAUAGCACAAUCAUUUUGUAGUGCUUUGGAAUUUGCAAAGCCUGUCAAAUCCAUUGUCUUAUUAGAUCUCUGCAAAUACCCUGUAACACGGGCAGGGUAGGUCUUAAUAUGCCUACUUCAGAGGUAGGAAACAGACCGAGAGAGCAUAUAUAUAUAUAUAUAUAUAUAACUAUAUAUAUAUUUAUAACUAUAUAUAUAUAACAAUAUAUAUAUUUAUAACAAUAUAUAUAUAACAAUAUAUAUAUAACUAUAUAUAUGUGUGUGUGUAUAUAUAUAUGUACAUAUAUAUAUAUAUAUAACACAAAAGGAACUGGGGCUGGAAUUUCUGUUUCC
rnacentral:lncRNA from 1 species